rnacentral:rRNA from 1 species
CCUACGGGUGGCAGCAGUGGGGGAUAUUGCACAAUGGGGGGAACCCUGAUGCAGCGACGCCGCGUGGGUGAAGAAGCGCCUCGGCGCGUAAAGCCCUGUCAGCAGGGAAGAAAAUGACGGUCCCUGAAGAAGAAGCCCCGGCUAACUACGUGCCAGCAGCCGCGGUACUACGUAGGGGGCACGCGUUAUCCGGGUUUACUGGGGGUAAAGGGGGCGCAGCCGGGGAGGCAAGCCAGGAGGGAAAGCCCGGGGCCCAACCGCGGGACUGCUCGUGGAACUGCGGGGCUGGAGUGCAGGAGGGGCAGGGGGAAUGCGUGGUGUAGCGGUGAAAUGCGUAGAUAUCAGGAGGAACACCGGUGGCGAAGGCGGCCUGCGGGACUGCAACUGACGUUGAGGCACGAAAGCGUGGGGAGCAAACAGGAUUAGAUACCCUGGUAGUC